AGUGAACGCUGGCGGUAGGCCUAACACAUGCAAGUCGAACGGCAGCACAGUAAGAGCUUGCUCUUACGGGAGGCGAGUGGCGGACGGGUGAGGAAUACAUCGGAAUCUACUUUUUCGUGGGGGAUAACGUAGGGAAACUUACGCUAAUACCGCAUACGACCUACGGGUGAAAGCAGUGGAUCUUCGGACCUUGCGCGAUUGAAUGAGCCGAUGUCGGAUUAGCUAGUUGGCGGGGUAAAGGCCCACCAAGGCGACGAUCCGUAGCUGGUCUGAGAGGAUGAUCAGUCACACUGGAACUGAGACACGGUCCAGACUCCUACGGGAGUCAGCAGUGGGGAAUAUUGGACAAUGGGCGGAAGCCUGAUCCAGCCAUACCGCGUGGGUGAAGAAGGCCUUCGGGUUGUAAAGCCCUUUUGUUGGGAAAGAAAAGCAGCAGGUUAAUGACCCGCUGUUCUGACGGUACCCAAAGAAUAAGCACCGGCUAACUUCGUG
rnacentral:rRNA from 1 species